rnacentral:rRNA from 1 species
UACGUAGGGUGCGAGCGUUGUCCGGAAUUAUUGGGCGUAAAGAGCUUGUAGGCGGUUUGUCGCGUCUGCCGUGAAAAUCCGGGGCUCAACUCCGGACUUGCGGUGGGUACGGGCAGACUAGAGUGUGGUAGGGGAGGCUGGAAUUCCUGGUGUAGCGGUGAAAUGCGCAGAUAUCAGGAGGAACACCGAUGGCGAAGGCAGGUCUCUGGGCCACUACUGACGCUGAGAAGCGAAAGCGUGGGGAGCGAACAGGAUUAGAUACCCGUGUAGUCC